rnacentral:rRNA from 1 species
GACGAACGCUGGCGGCGUGCUUAACACAUGCAAGUCGAACGGAGCGAAUGAAAGCUUGCUUUUAUGAGCUUAGUGGCAAACGGGUGAGUAACACGUAGACAACCUGCCGACAGGAUGGGGACAACAUUCCGAAAGGAAUGCUAAUACCGAAUGAAGUCGAGGGAAGGCAUCUUCCUUCUAUGAAAGAUGGCCUCUAUUUAUAAGCUAUCACCUGUCGAUGGGUCUGCGUCUGAUUAGCUAGUUGGUGAGGUAACGGCUCACCAAGGCGACGAUCAGUAGCCGGUCUGAGAGGAUGAACGGCCACAUUGGGACUGAGACACGGCCCAGACUCCUACGGGAGGCAGCAGUGGGGAAUCUUCCGCAAUGGGCGCAAGCCUGACGGAGCAACGCCGCGUGAGUGAAGAAGGUCUUCGGAUCGUAAAGCUCUGUUGAUGGGGACGAAUGUGCGAGAGGUGAAUAUCUCUGCAAUGACCG